rnacentral:rRNA from 1 species
AACGAGCGCUGGCGGCAGGCUUAACACAUGCAAGUCGAACGCAUCCUUCGGGGUGAGUGGCAGACGGGUGAGUAACGCGUGGGAACGUGCCCUUCAGUUCGGGAUAACCCAGGGAAACUUGGGCUAAUACCGGAUACGUGCGAGAGCAGAAAGAUUUAUCGCUGAAGGAUCGGCCCGCGUCUGAUUAGCUAGUUGGUGGGGUAAUGGCCCACCAAGGCGACGUUCAGUAGCUGGUCUGAGAGGAUGAUCAGCCACAUUGGGACUGAGACACGGCCCAAACUCCUACGGGAGGCAGCCGUGGGGAAUAUUGGACAAUGGGCGCAAGCCUGAUCCAGCCAUGUCGCGUGAGUGAUGAAGGCCUUAGGGUUGUAAAGCUCUUUCGUCCGGGACGAUAAUGACGGUACCGGAAGAAGAAGCCCCGGCUAACUUCGUGCCAGCCGCCGCAGUAACAC